GAGAAGCUCAAGUUCACCACAAGCCACAGCAGUAAGCCAUGCCCUAGCCUCUGACCUGUGCUCCAAUUUUGGUACAAUAAUUUCUGCCAUGUUCUCCAACAGAAAAGGAACUGCAUGUGUUUUUCUGCCUCUUCCAGUAGAUGAGUACUGUGAUGCCAAUUUUAUAUCUGGGAAAGCUGAGGCACAGCAAAGUGGUAAGGGUAAAUCAAGAUCCUACAGCAGGUGCAAGAAUGAAAAUAAGAAUGUAGGAAACGCACAAAAUAGCGCAUCUUGAAAUCCAUAUUUGAAAACAGCGAUGGGAGAGGAGAAAAAUUUGCACAGAGUAACUAAUGAAGAAACAAUAGGGCUUAUUUCCUGUUGAUUCUGUUGAUUAAAAAAAAAACCCA